rnacentral:rRNA from 1 species
GAUGAACGCUGGCGGCGUGCUUAACACAUGCAAGUCGAACGGGAAAUAUUUCAUUGAGACUUCGGUGGAUUUGAUUUAUUUCUAGUGGCGGACGGGUGAGUAACGCGUGGGUAACCUGCCUUAUACAGGGGGAUAACAGUCAGAAAUGGCUGCUAAUACCGCAUAAGCGCACAGAGCUGCAUGGCUCAGUGUGAAAAACUCCGGUGGUAUAAGAUGGACCCGCGUUGGAUUAGCUAGUUGGUGGGGUAACGGCCCACCAAGGCGACGAUCCAUAGCCGGCGUGAGAGGGUGAACGGCCACAUUGGGACUGAGACACGGCCCAGACUCCUACGGGAGGCAGCAGUGGGGAAUAUUGCACAAUGGGGGAAACCCUGAUGCAGCGACGCCGCGUGAAGGAAGAAGUAUCUCGGUAUGUAAACUUCUAUCAGCAGGGAAGAUAGUGACGGUACCUGACUAAGAAGCCCCGGCUAACUACGUG